rnacentral:lncRNA from 1 species
GUGGUGUUGCUCCCCUUAGAAUUGAAACAGGGAGAUAUGAAAAUAUUGUUUUAGAAAAUAGAGUGUGCCAUAUAUGUGACGUUUUUAUUGAAGAUGAAGCGCAUGUUUUAUUAAGAUGUCCUCUUUAUGACGAUUUUAGAUACCAUUUAUAUCAUGUUGCUGAAACUUUUAAUGAUAAUUUUAAUACUUUAGAUGAUAAUCAAAAGUUAGUGUUUUUAUUCUCAGAUGUAAAUAUGAUUCGUGUG